UACAGAGGCCUCAAGCGUUGUUCGGAAUUACUGGGCGUAAAGGGAAUGUAGGCGGUAGCGUAAGUCAGAUGUGAAAGCCCUGGGCUUAACCUGGGAACUGCAUUUGAUACUGCGUUGCUAGAGUGCGAGAGAGGAAAGGGGAAUUCCUGGUGUAGGGGUGAAAUCCGUAGAUAUCAGGAGGAAUACCGAUGGCGAAGGCACCUUUCUGGCUCGUAACUGACGCUGAGAUUCGAAAGCGUGGGUAGCAAACAGG
rnacentral:misc_RNA from 1 species